AUCCGUCAUUUAGCUCAAGGGCAUUUCGGUCAUUUCACUUUACUACUUAAAUCUAGAAGACUCACUUUACCAUAACAGUUGCCGACUUCCAAACAAACCCAUCUCUCAGUUUGCCUGCUUCCAGAAAAUACUCGGAGUUUUUUUCACCCCUUCAACUGGUUUUGCAAGUUGAGUUCUGUUCAGAUUUCUCAUUUUCUUGGUUGAAUUUCAUGGCUAUUGAACGAAAGAUAAAACUUUUAGACGAAGAAAAAAGUAACUUUCUGGUUCUCAUCUCUUGACUUUCGUCCAUUUCCAUCUUUGGACCUAUUAGUGGAGGGCAUAAGUAUUCACAAGCUAUUGCUCUGUACACACAAGUGAUUAAGUUGAACAGUGAGAAUGUGGUGUACUAGGCUAAUCGUGUGUUUGCUCACAUCAAAUUGAAGGAAUAUUGCAGCGUAAUAGAGGACGGAGCUAAAGCUAUUGAAAUUGUCCCCAGAUAUUCAAAGGUUGAUACGGGUGAUGUGUGCUUAAUCUCUGAUGGGUUGUGAUCGUAUUGCUGGGACUUCAUACAGGCCAUCUAAACUGCCACCAAGCCACUUCAGCUAUAAGCAUACAGAUUAGACCAUGCUUAUUUAGGAAGCAUUAUGCUUUUAGUUUUGAUAAAUGUUCCUUUCUGGUCGAACUUAAAUGGACCAUUCCUACAGCAAAAGGAAAUGCCAACUUUGUACUACUGUUGCUGCUAAUGUUCUUACUGCUCUUAACUGAAUAUUGUAUCUCUGUAGGAAUGAUGAAACAACUACAUUCUGUUGUAUUUCAUCUUCACACUUCCUGUACAAACUUCUCAUGACACUUGAAAUGUAGCUAUAUCUUCUUUUUUGGGUUGA